CUGGUUUGUAAUAUGGUACUGGUUUAGCUGAUCAAACACAAUUUUUUCGAAAAUUUUAGAAAUAGCGGACAAGAUAGAGAUAGGUCUAUAAUUGCCACAUUCUUCUCGAUUUCCAGAUUUGAAAAUUGGAGAAACUCUAGCAUUUUUCCAGUCGCUUGAAAAAUUCCCCUCUGAAAGGGAUAGAUUAAAAAUAAGGUUCAGAUAAGGAGUGACAACGACUGCAGACUCCUUUAAUAAUUU